GAGAGGGAGGAGGGGUACUUGACUCCCGCCUCCGAAGUCCUCCGUCCCCCCACUGAAUGUUGGGUGUUCGGGCCUUAAGUGAGGAAAAGGCCUCCUCUGCGGCGACUUCCCCGGGAAGGCCGCCCCGGUUCCGGUUUGGGUGGCGCGGCCCGCGCUGGUUUCUGCCGGCGUCUGCCGGCGUCUGCAGCGGAAGCACAAACCCGCCCCCCCACCCAUAGUCUUAACGCGAUCCCGCACUGGUCGGUUUUAGUUUUGCGCUUGGUAAUGGCAGGGUUGAAGAGCUUUAAUCACACUUGUUUAUUGGAGUCAGGAUGCUUUUGUCCCUCUCGAUCCCCACAAGGGCUCCGAGGAGAGUCAGUCAUCUAGACUCUGGUGGUGGGAACCUCUGCGGGGCCCGGGCCUCCCAGCGCCUUCAGGCCCGGAGAGGCGAGGCCCCGGCUCCAGGUGACACGGGGGGCGGGCUUGGGUCUGGCUCCCGCGAAACCCGCAGUCUCUUUCCCUUCUGUUUCACCAAACGCUGGUGGGGGAAAAAGAUGCAAAUUAGGGAGCCGAAGACCCGCUUUGAGAGCUGACGAGGAAUUCGUGUCCAAGAAAGUAGUAUCUCUCCCAUUAAUGUGUGGUGUUCCAGCGACACUAAAGGCGGAGGUAACCGGCUAAGGCCACUCUGGCUGGUUUCCCUCCACCCUGGGUGUGGCCCCGUGAACCCCCUAGGAGAUAACCCGAGGAGCGUAAGGCAGGGAGGGGCGUUGGGAUCUCGGGGACACGUGGCCCGGUGUCUGAGUCACAGAGACGGGGAUGUAAAUAAACACGCAAAUGGCUGUUUGUGGCGUAAUAACCAAUCUCAGUAAGGAGCGGUCUAAAGAUUUGCACAUUAACACAAAUUCGCUAGAUAUCACUUAGAGAAGUCAUUAAAUCACAACAUUUCUAAGCAUAAUAUUUAAAAAACUGUGUCGAUGACCUUGCACUACAGACAGGUAUAUUGAGGAGUUAACAGACACCUUGACAGUCUUGAGUGAACUAAAACUUGACUCGCAAUGAAUCUGAACUUGUUUCAGCAACUAGCAUCUUCUCCUGAGUCAUACGUGUUGGUGGGGAGAAUAAACUAGAAUGGAGAUCACCUGACUGAUAGGAUGCCUUAGUUCAGAGUUCCAGCAAUUGCCAGAACCAAGUGAGUCAUACAGCUUCCUGGUUUAAUGUUUUCCCAAAGUGGGACCUUCGGUGACCGCCAGCCACAACGCAAAACGUUUUCAGAAGAAUGACAGGUGCUGUCCUUGUAAACCAAGAGAUUAUCUCCAUUUGACUUCGGCAGUGAACUUUGAAGCUGGUUGAACUCUUAAACUCCAGGAUUCUUCACUCAGAGCCCGACCUGUCACCCGUCUAGCUUUCUUUCUACCUUGUUUCUACUACAUCUGCUGGGUAAACUUUCUAAGACCUCCAGUUCCCCAGUUUUCUGUUGUCUCCCCUCAACUGUUGGUUCUUUUCUUUAAUGGAUUGUGCUUUUCCUGCUAAGAACUCUUCAUCCAGCCCAAAGAUUUUCUCCUGUGUUGUGUCUACACCUAAAUCUAAAAUCCAUAUCAAAUUAGUUACUUUUGUAUAAGAUGUCAAGUUUAAAUUGAGGUUGUUUUUUUUUGUUUUUG